rnacentral:lncRNA from 1 species
GUCAUCACAUUUCAUUUUCAUAACAUAACCGAUAACCUAAAAAUUUAGUAAAAAAGUAAAAAUUUUGAUUGGAAAAAAAUGCAUCGAUAAGGGGAUGUGGGAAAUGAAAAUUAGUGGCUUUUUUGCUGUACUGUCUGCUAGUUUUUGCUCUGGGCACUGGCUAGAUCUCUUGUUUAAACAAUUUUAAUCGGCUGAAAGUGGCCUACAAAAAAAAAACCAAGAAGGAAAUGUAUAGCCUUGUGGCUAUGAAAGGCAAAAGAGUGAUAUAAAAAGUGUAUUGGCUAGUUGGAAGAAAGUCCACAUUGUCCAUGCAUAAUAAGUUAUUACAUUAUCAACAAAUAUCAAGAAGAUAGCAGGGUCACGAGCAUCAACUUCAUGAGUUCAAGAAUAUCGAGGAAAUCCAGCUCCUCGAUACUACUGGGCAAACUAGAAGAUUGAAGAGGACAAAUCCUUUUGAACUAGUUUGAGUGAUAGGUGAUAGUGAAAAACGGAGCAUAGUGCUUGUGUGCUGUGCCUGUGUAUGUUAGAAUAGUGCACGAUCUUGUUAGAUUAGAUAAGAGACGCUAUGGGGUAAGCUCUUCAUUUUAAGAAACAGUAGUAAUUUAGGCUAAAUUAAAAUUGCUCAUUGGUCAGUUAUGACCAGAUUGUUUUUUUAUGUUUGGCAAAAAGGACUUAAGUCAGAAUUGCACAUUGAUAAUGUUUUGAUGAUUUCUGGACCAGAAAAAAACUGUUGUAGAUGUAAACUGUAUGUACAGUAGAAUCUACUACAGUACUGUAGAAAUCAUCAAAACAUUAUCGAUGUGCAAUUCUGACUUAAGCCCUUUUUCCCAAACAUCAGAGAAUUGUAAUGUACAAUAAUUCUCCUAUCUGCUUUUUCAUGAAUUUUGUAGGAGACGAAAAACCAUUUUUAGGAUCAUCUGCUUUCACAUGUUUUGUAGUAAAUAGAUAGUUGAAUUUACUACAAAACAUGUCAAAAAAUAUAUGAAAACAGGAGGUGACUAUAAAAAAAGUUUUUAGUCUCUCUUACAAAACUCAUGAAAAAACAAAUUGGAGGUAUGUCACAUCAGUGACUAAGAAUGUCUAAAAAAUAUACUUUGAUGUCCCAAGAACCAAAUAUAACCUACAGUCCAUCUAAUUUACUUACUGUUGCACGUCAUUAUCUACGCCAGAGAUCUAAGUUGACAUAGUUGCCAAAGUAUAAAAAGAUCCUGAAUCCAUUUUAAAUCAAAUAUGUCACAUAAUUAUUGUAAACGUGGAUUAUACAACAAAACAAAUUAAUAUUCAAUGUAAAUAAGUAAAAACUUAAGAAAUAGAGAACAAGAAUUAAGUUAUAAUCUUUUAAGAUUUGCAGUGCAAGAGUUUUUGCACUGCAUUGUUAAUAAUUAAAAAACGGCUCCGAACUCUUGGCAAAAAGCCGGUAGGUUUCUUUGUAUAAGUAUGUCUACAAUAACAACUAAAAAAGUUGUCAGAUACCUCGAUUAUUCCAAGUCGUUAUAAAAUUAGGUGAAAUUUAUAUUUUUAUAGUAGAGGAUCUUUUUAUAGUAAAGUAAAUAAUAAAAACAGUAAAUAUAAUAAAUAAAACAGAUACUUAUAGUAAAGAAUAUAAACAAAUAUGAAGUGUCAUCACCGUAACUGUCAAAUAAAUGUUACCAAUUUAUUCUAAAAUGUCACCUUCGUUCGAUUACAGUUACAGUGUGAUCCGAACAAAUCUGCUUCAUAAAAACGCUUUACAAUCCAUUUAUACAAAUUAAAUGAAACAUAUUAUUGUGUAUUUCUUUAGGUUAACAUUAAUAGAAAUCUUCAAAUAUUAUUUCUACGCGUAUAUAAUAAAAUAUGUCUAGUGGCUGUAAUUCCAGUGUACUCAGCAAAGUGAUUCUAAAAAAGAACACACCUACCGCCUAAAUAUUUCGUGUUGGUAUCAUGCAACCUCACAGGCUACGACGCGGAUGACGCGCAACAGUUAGUAAAUUAGACGAAGUAUGUAGAUAUAUACAGGGUGUAACAAAAAUACAGGUCAUAAAUUUAAUCACAUAUUCUGGGACCAAAAAUAGUUUGAUUGGACCUAACUUACCUUAGUACAAAUGUGCACACAAGAAAAGUUACAGCCCUUUGAAGUUAUAUAUAUAUAUAUAAUAGCACCAAGGGUCUUAGAGGCCCAUGGCUUGAAAAGUUUGUUUUUUUUCUUCAUUUUCACGUUUCUUUAUGUACUGAGAUCUUCUCUGGCUUGAUAUGUGAUUUUUCUCCAUUCCUUCCUGUUAUUCAUUUUUCUUUUCUGACCCUGUAGCACCAUUCUUUCCAAAUCUUUUUCGACCUCUUGCUUCCAUCUAUUUUUCGGCCUUCCUCUUCUCUUUCUUGAAGCUGUAGUGUAGUUUAGUACCAUUUUUGGAGUCCUCGUGUUUGGCAUCCUUUCAAUGUGACCUCGCCAUCUAAGUCUCUGUGCCUUUAUCAUUCAUUUGAAGUUACAAGAUGAAGUGAUUUUUUCCAAUAUAUCGAAAACUAUUAGAGAUUUUUUAUUGAAAAUGGACAUGUGGCAUUAUUAUGGCAGCA